GGCGGACGCGUCGAUAACAAGAUACGGUCUACCUAUAAUUCUGUCGUUUCGGAUCAAAUCUCUGUUUGCACAAAGCUAGGAGUGCAGAAACCUGGAUUCUUGAGACAGUUUCAGUUUUCCUUCUUUAUUAAGGAUAGGCAAUAUGAUAUCUGACAAUAAGAGUGCAAUAGGAAGAAGAAACGCGUUUUAACACUCUCCGAUGACGCACUUAACUUGGACAAAGUGAAAUAAUCCGAAUUCUUUCGGUUCUGAAAGAUACUUAUGCUGAUUUCGGUUAGUUUUUUGACGCAAUUAACCUCAAGGAUCAGAGUAUUUUAUAUUUUGGCAUAGAAAAAAAAAGAUACGCCUAAGAAAUAUCAUCUUGAGUAACACGAUAAACAUUUUUCAGUUUUUUGGCACGACAAUUGUUA